CCUGGACGCUGAAGGAGCACUCGGGGCCUGUGUAGGGUCAGCGCCUUUUAUUGGGGACAAAAAGUGACCACUGGGGACAGAGAGUGACCCCUGGGGGCAAAAAAGUGACCCCUGGGGACAGAAAGUGACCCCUGGGGACAGAAAGUGACCCCUGGGGACAAAAAAGUGACCCCUGGGGACAAAGUGACCACAGAAGUGAUGGCUCUGUCCGGCCACUGCCUGUCCUGGCAGCUCCAGGGCACAGCCAGGGACCGUCCCUGUCCCGUGUCCUUUAUUGUCCCUUGUCCCAUGUCCUGUGUCCACCUCAUCUCCAUUUGUCCAUCCCUGUGUCCGUUAUCCCGUGUCCAUUGUCCCAUGCCCUGUGUCCAUCUGUCCAUCCCCAUGUCCGUUGUCCCGUGUCCAUCUGUCCAUCCCCCUGUCCAUUAUCCCGUGUCCAUUAUCCCAUGUCCAUUGUCCCAUGUCCAUCUGUCCAUCCCCAUGUCCAUCCCCGUGUCCGUUAUCCCGUGUCCAUCUGUCCAUCCCCGUGUCCAUCCCCGUGUCCGUUAUCCCAUGUCCAUUGUCCCGUGUCCAUCUGUCCAUCCCCAUGUCCGUUAUCCCGUGUCCAUUAUCCCGUGUCCGUUGUCCCAUGUCCAUCUGUCCGUCCCCGUGUCCGUUAUCCCGUGUCCGUGCCGUGUCCGUCCGUCCGUCCGUGCCGCGUCCCUCAGGCUGAUCCGGGUGUCCGGGGCCCGUCCUUGUCCCCGGUUCCGGUUCCGGUUCCGGUUCCGGUUCCGGUGGCGGCCCAGCUCGGCCUGCGGAU
rnacentral:lncRNA from 1 species